rnacentral:tRNA from 1 species
GCUGGAGUUGUGGCUCAGUGGUAGAGAGUUUGCCUAGCAUGUGCAAGACCCUGGGUUCUCUCCCCAGUGCAGCA